GCGGUCAUCCAUAGAACAGGUCCUUACGGAGAGGCACUCGAGAAACCGCUCGAGUCCCCUUGAAAACCACAAGUAUAAUCAUAAAGAAGAACGGGAAAACAGCGUAUCAUAGAUAAUCACAUCAUGUUCAUUGAUUAGAGUUGAGCAAUAGCAUCAGACUAAGUAGUAAUAAUCCGACCCAAAUAGGUAAACAAGGACAUGGAUAACAAAAGCUAGUCAAUCCUUAGGUAUAAAUGUGUAAUGCGGGAGGUGAAUUAAAGAAUGAAUAGGACAGAGAUAGGUCAAAGGACACUUGCCUCCACCAACCGACUGCUGCUCAGGGGCUUCUCCUGCGAAUUCCUCGGGCUCUUCGACCGGAUCGUUCUCUAUGCGAGCGCAAACAUACAUACAUCCAUCCACAUAUUUAAUACAAAAGAACAGUACACCAUACAAGAUAACAAAUAAAGUGAAUAUGCACCAAGUAUGACAUUCGAUAUCGCAUUUGUUAUGGUUAGAAAGAAACGGGAAAGGUCUCGCAGGGGGUUAAAUCUUAUGCACUAAUGACACAAUUGGUUUUUAACAAAAUAAUUCUGUUAUAUAUAUUUAUAUAUACUAAUGGAAACCUAAUCACUUUUAGUUGAUCAACAUUGCACAGGGUAAACAAUUAACUACGUGAAUCAAUAACAUAACGGAAUUUUAAAUUAAACUUCCUAUUUUCCCAUAGCAUGAACAGUGAUUAGCCUACUUAAAAUACAGUAAUUAUGAUCACAGAAAG
rnacentral:lncRNA from 7 species